rnacentral:pre_miRNA from 14 species
AUGUCUCCUAGAGUUCCUCUGAGCACUUCAUUGGGGAUACAAUUUUUCUAAAUGAUUAUCCACUGAAGUGUUUGGGGGAACUCCCGGACCCAU